AGUUGUUUUAAAAUGUUUUCUUUUUUCUUCAACAGGUUUACAACUCACCCCCGCACCGGGUAUAACGUAUCUUCCGCCAGUGUUUCCUACCUACGCAGCAGGGCAAACCUACGCACCAGGAUUAGGAUCUGCAGGAACGUUAACAGGAUCAGGAUCUGGUAUGACGUUAUCUCCCUUCUUCGCAGGUAUGACUUAUCCUCCGCCACUGAUUCCUAGAACAGACGCAUUUGGUUAUCCCCUAGCCUUCCCUUCCACUCCUGUUUAUUACUCAACAAUUUACCAACCAUUCCAAACAACGACACCUGCUCUUCCUGCCCAUUUGACUACAGCCAAUCAUGUUAGAUCAACGUUCCCAGAAACCUGGCUAUGGACAAGUCAAUUCGUU